CCUACGGGAGGCUGCAGUGAGGAAUAUUGGUCAAUGGACGAGAGUCUGAACCAGCCAAGUAGCGUGAAGGAUGACUGCCCUAUGGGUUGUAAACUUCUUUUAUAUGGGAAUAAAACGUUCCACGUGUGGGAUUUUGUAUGUACCAUAUGAAUAAGGAUCGGCUAACUCCGUGCCAGCAGCCGCGGUAAUACGGAGGAUCCGAGCGUUAUCCGGAUUUAUUGGGUUUAAUGGGAGCGUAGGUGGAUUGUUAAGUCAGUUGUGAAAGUUUGCGGCUCAACCGUAAAAUUGCAGUUGAAACUGGCAGUCUUGAGUACAGUAGAGGUGGGCGGAAUUCGUGGUGUAGCGGUGAAAUGCUUAGAUAUCACGAAGAACUCCGAUGGCGAAGGCAGUUCACUGGACUGCAACUGACACUGAGGCUCGAAAGUGUGGGUAUCAAACAGGAUUAGAUACCCCAGUAGUC
rnacentral:rRNA from 1 species